UACGAAGGGGGCUAGCGUUGCUCGGAAUUACUGGGCGUAAAGGGCGCGUAGGCGGAUAUUUAAGUUAGAGGUGAAAGCCCAGGCUCAACCCUGGAAUAGCCUUUAAUACUGGAUAUCUUGAGUUCGGGGAGAGGUGAGUGGAACUCCGAGUGUAGAGGUGAAAUUCGUAGAUAUUCGGAAGAACACCAGUGGCGAAGGCGACUCACUGGCCCGAUACUGAC
rnacentral:rRNA from 1 species